rnacentral:rRNA from 1 species
UACGGAGGGAGCUAGCGUUGUUCGGAAAUACUGGGCGUAAAGCGCGCGUAGGCGGCUUUGUAAGUUAGAGGUGAAAGCCCGGGGGCUCAACCCCGGAACUGCCUUUAAAACUGCAUCGCUUGAAUCCGGGAGAGGUGAGUGGAAUUCCGAGUGUAGAGGUGAAAUUCGUAGAUAUUCGGAAGAACACCAGUGGCGAAGGCGGCUCACUGGACCGGCAUUGACGCUGAG